rnacentral:rRNA from 1 species
UAGAGUGUAAAGGCAUAAGGGAGCUUGACUGCGAGACCUACAAGUCGAGCAGGGUCGAAAGACGGACUUAGUGAUCCGGUGGUUCCGCAUGGAAGGGCCAUCGCUCAACGGAUAAAAGCUACCCCGGGGAUAACAGGCUUAUCUCCCCCAAGAGUUCACAUCGACGGGGAGGUUUGGCACCUCGAUGUCGGCUCAUCGCAUCCUGGGGCUGUAGUCGGUCCCAAGGGUUGGGCUGUUCGCCCAUUAAAGCGGUACGCUAGCUGGGUUCAGAACGUCGUGAGACAGUUCGGUCCCUAUCCGUCGUGGGCGUAGGAAAUUUGAGAGGAGCUGUCCUUAGUACGAGAGGACCGGGAUGGACAUACCUCUGGUGUACCAGUUGUC